CCUACGGGAGGCUGCAGUGAGGAAUAUUGGUCAAUGGUCGCGAGCCUGAACCAGCCAAGUAGCGUGAAGGAUGACUGCCCUACGGGUUGUAAACUUCUUUUAUCAAGGAAUAAAGUGAGGCACGUGUCCCUUUUUGUGUGUACUUUAUGAAUAAGGAUAGACUAACUCCGUGCCAGCAGCCGCGGUAAUACGGAGGCUACGGGGGUUAUCCGGAGUUCUUGGGUUUAUAGGGAGAGGAGAUGGGGUGUUAAGUCAGGUGUGAAAGGGGGCGGAACAACCGUAAAGUUGCAGAUGAUGAUGGCAGCGAGUGGGACAGUGGAGGUAGGCAGAAUUGGUGUAGUGGCGAAGAGAUGAU
rnacentral:rRNA from 1 species